rnacentral:lncRNA from 1 species
GAGAAUCUGCACCAUACUCCAAAACAACAUCAUCAGGAUUGAUGACAUUACCCCUACUUUUACUCAUCUUGUGAGCUCGGGCAAUCAAGCGAACAUUGGGGUUAUCUUUCAAUACAAAGAAGUCGCCAGAUUUCAUGACCUAUUCACCAUUAAAAUACAGGCAAUCAAACGAACAUUGGGGUUAUCUUUCAAUACAAAGCAGUCACCAGAUUUCAUGACCUAUUCACCAUCAAAAUACAGUUUCAAACUGAUGAAUUACAUUCUGAAAGGUAAACACUAACAUAAAAAAGAUGCUAAAAGAUUUAAGUAAUUGCACAUAAUCAGUAUAUAAAUAAAC